ACACAUGCAAGUCGAACGGGAAUCUUCGGAUUCUAGUGGCGGACGGGUGAGUAACGCGUAAGAAUCUAACUUCAGGACGGGGACAACAGUUGGAAACGACUGCUAAUACCCGAUGUGCCGCAAGGUGAAAACUAAUUGGCCUGAAGAAGAGCUUGCGUCUGAUUAGCUAGUUGGUGGGGUAAGAGCCUACCAAGGCGACGAUCAGUAGCUGGUCUGAGAGGAUGAGCAGCCACACUGGGACUGAGACACGGCCCAGACUCCUACGGGAGGCAGCAGUGGGGAAUUUUCCGCAAUGGGCGAAAGCCUGACGGAGCAACGCCGCGUGAGGGAGGAAGGUCUUUGGAUUGUAAACCUCUUUUCUCAAGGAAGAAGUUCUGACGGUACUUGAGGAAUCAGCCUCGGCUAACUCCGUGCCAGCAGCCGCGGUAAUACGGGGGAGGCAAGCGUUAUCCGGAAUUAUUGGGCGUAAAGCGUCCGCAGGUGGUCAGCCAAGUCUGCCGUCAAAUCAGGUUGCUUAACGACCUAAAGGCGGUGGAAACUGGCAGACUANAGAGCAGUAGGGGUAGCAGGAAUUCCCAGUGUAGCGGUGAAAUGCGNUAGAGAUUGGGAAGAACAUCGGUGGCGAAAGCGUGCUACUGGGCUGUAUCUGACACUCA
rnacentral:rRNA from 1 species